rnacentral:tmRNA from 1 species
GGGGACGACCUGGCUUCGACGUGGGUUACAAAACUUAAGGUGCAUGUCGAGUAUGUUGGUUCUUCUCGUAAAACAGACUGACAAAAUG